AGCGAACGCUGGCGGCGUGCUUAACACAUGCAAGUCGAGUGCGCGGUUCGUAGCAAUACGAACUGGCGCACGGCGCACGGGUGAGGAACACGUGGGCAACAUGCCCUCCGAUGGGGAAUAACCCGCCGAAAGGCGGGCUAAUGCCGCAUACGAUUCCGGGGACCUCGGUUCCUGGACUGAAAGCCCGCAAGGGCGUCGGUGGAGUGGCCCGCGGCCGAUUAGCUUGUUGGCGGGGAAC
rnacentral:rRNA from 1 species